UACAGAGGGUGCUAGCGUUGUUCGGAAUCAUUGGGCGUAAAGGGCGUGUAGGCGGUUUGUUAAGUCAUGUGUGAAAUCCCUCGGCUCAACCGGGGAACGACGCAUGAAACUGGCAAGCUAGAGUAUGGUAGAGGGUGGUGGAAUUUCCUGUGUAGCGGUGAAAUGCGUAGAUAUAGGAAGGAACACCAGUGGCGAAGGCGACCACCUGGACUGAUACUGACACUGAGGUGCGAAAGCGUGGGGAGCAAACAGG
rnacentral:rRNA from 1 species